rnacentral:rRNA from 1 species
GAUGAACGCUGGCGGCGUGCCUAAUACAUGCAAGUCGAGCGAACAGACGAGGAGCUUGCUCCUCUGACGUUAGCGGCGGACGGGUGAGUAACACGUGGAUAACCUACCUAUAAGACUGGGAUAACUUCGGGAAACCGGAGCUAAUACCGGAUAAUAUAUUGAACCGCAUGGUUCAAUAGUGAAAGACGGUUUUGCUGUCACUUAUAGAUGGAUCCGCGCCGCAUUAGCUAGUUGGUAAGGUAACGGCUUACCAAGGCAACGAUGCGUAGCCGACCUGAGAGGGUGAUCGGCCACACUGGAACUGAGACACGGUCCAGAAUCCUACGGGAGGCAGCAGUAGGGAAUCUUCCGCAAUGGGCGAAAGCCUGACGGAGCAACGCAGCGUGAGUGAUGAAGGUCUUCGGAUCGUAAAACUCUGUUAUUAGGGAAGAACAAAUGUGUAAGUAACUAUGCACGUCUUGACGGUACCUAAUCAGAAAGCCACGGCUAACUACGU